GAAGAAUUGGACCAUAGGGAGUCUUCUAGAAGUAAUGGUAAAAUAGAGGAAAAUGUUCCCCCAGAGUCAAUCACAGACAGAAGCCCUUCUGGUGAAGAAGUAUCUAUUAGCAAGUUUCCAGAAUCACUACAGAAAGGAAGGGAUGGGAGCAAAUAUGGGCAGUGUACUAAUGGAGAUUCUGAGUUAGUGAGUCUGAAAAAUGAGUUAUCAGUUUUGAGCAGCAGACUGGAAGAACUUGGUAUAGAACAUAACUUUCUUGAUCAGUCCAUAAAUUCAUUGAGGAAUGGAAAGGAUGGACAUCGACUGAUUGAGGAGAUAGCUGGUCACCUGCGACAGUUGCAUUUUGUUUUCGAAAGAUCGAGUGGUGAACUUGCGCAUUAAUAAAGAUUAAAUUAAAG
rnacentral:misc_RNA from 1 species